CCGUUCGAUCACCGAAGUUAAGCAUCGUAGAGCCAGGUCAGUACUUAGAUGGGGACCGCUUAGGGAACACCUGGUACUGUAAGC